rnacentral:rRNA from 1 species
UACGUAGGUGGCGAGCGUUGUCCGGAUUUAUUGGGCGUAAAGCGCGCGCAGGCGGUUGUCUAAGUCUGCUGUGAAAUCUCCCGGCUCAACUGGGAGGGGGCGGCGGAGACUGGGCGACUGGAGGGACCUAGAGGCCGGUGGAAUUCCCGGUGUAGUGGUGAAAUUCGUAGAUAUCGAGAGGAACACCGGUGGCGAAGGCGGCCUUCUGGACAGUCACUGACGCUGAGACGCGAAAGCGUGGGGAGCAAACAGG